UAGGGGUUAAGGUUAGGGAUGAAUUCAGAGUGGUUGAGUUAGGGGUUAAGUUAGGGAUGAAUUCAGAGUGGUUGAGUUAGGGGUUAAGUUAGGGAUGAAUUCAGAGUUGUUGAAUUAGGGGUUAAGUUAGGGAUGAAUUCAGAGUGGUUGAGUUAGGGGUUAAGUUAGGGAUGAAUUCAGAGUGGUUAAGUUAGGGGUUAAGGUUAGGGAUGAAUUCAG